AGCGCUGCCACCGUCCAUGAACCUCUCUGGCAUGAACUCAUCCGGCUUCUCCCAUGACUCCGGGUCUCUGCCAAGAGCCCAUGCGUUGAGGAUGACCCUGGUGCCGGAAGGGACACAGUAGCCAUCGACGACGCAGUCCGCCAUGGAGAGGCGAGGCACCAGGAGCGGCGCAGGCGGGUGCAUCCUCAGUGUCUCCUUCACGACCGCUCUCAGGUAGGGCAUGUUAGAUAGGUUCUCUUCCUCCACCGUUUCUUGUCCUGACGGUGUGUGCUUUCUCACUUCACCUUGUAGCUUAGCCAUCUGCUGUGGGUUGCACAUCAGCUCGGCCAUGGCGAACUCCAGGACCAAGGAUGACGUGUCUGUGCCCGCAGCAAACAUGUCCUGCAGAUCAUCAAAUAUAUGAGUUAGUUUUCAAUAUAGAGUUUUUAGAUUCGCCCUGUUUUGAUUCAGAUAAGACUUAAAAACAAGUAUAGAUAUAGGAUGACACAACUGAACAAGUUUGAUGACCUAUAUUGGAGAUUUCUAAGUUUAGAGACCAGAAUGGCACAACCGAACAAGUUUAGGUGUCGUUUUGUGAGUUUAAUUAGGAACCGGGAUGACAUACCCGAACAAGUUUAGGGAUUGGUGAUGGACUUUAUUCUAUAUAUGAGAGGAUCGAUUUACUCACCAGCAAGAUGGCCUUAACAUGAUCUCUGGUCAUACCAUACUCUUUCUGAACGGAGAGCAACACAUCGGUGAAGUCACCUCGUCCGUCGUCGUGGCGAUGCACAGCAGAGUCUUUUCGCUCGUGGUCGCUCAGUAUGGUUUCAAGCAACUCGUCCCAUCUCUUGUGCGUCUCUUGGGCUCUCUUGCGCAGAAACCUUCUGCUAAGGAAACCUAACGACCUCGCCAGCCAUGGGAAGUAGUAUUCCAGGUUGAACCCUCCAACCAGGGCAGAGUUGGCCUCCACCAGCUCCCGGAACAGCUUGCUCCGGCCUUCUGACCGGAAGAACUUGCCUGUCACGGCGUGGCUCACGACAUCGUUGGCGAACAUGUUCAUCACCAUACCCAUGUCCAUGGCUGUGCUCGCCGCCGCCGCCGCCUGUACGUUGGCCAGCACGAGGUGCACCUCUUCCUUGCGGGCGCUGCGGUACGAGUGCACUUUCUUGACGGCGAGGAGGUGCGUGGUGACCAGCUUUCUGGCCUGCCGCCAGUGCUCGCCGUAGGGGGAGAAGGCGAUGUCGGAGGACCCGUACAUGAGGUCGUCGCUGACGGUGGAGACGAGACGCGAUGCGAAGACAUGGUCGUGCGUGCGCAUGGUCGUCUCCGCGGCCUGCGGGGAUGAGACGAUGAGAGUGGUGGCGGCGCCGAGAUGGAGGAGCAUGAGGCCGUCGCGGCCAUGCUUGGCGGAGAGGUCACGGAGGGUGAUGUGCGGGAGGUCGCCGCCGAUGAGGUGAAGGUGGCCGAUGAUGGGAAGCCCCGGAGGCGAAGGCGGAAGCUGCUGCUGCUGCUGCUUGUCGUCGCUGCAGCUGCUGCUGCCAUGACGACGGCGGUCUGACCUUGACCGUCGGGAGGAGUAGUAGUGAAGCAGGAGCAGGAGAGGAACGAGGAGCAAUAGGAGCCAUUGUGCCAGGACUAACGAUGAAGAGGUGAGUUGGAAUGCCACCUCCAGGUGACUCAUGGUUGCUACUAGCUAGCCAAGCGAGGUUCAGGCAGGUGGUGUGUGUGCUUCUGCCUUCCUGUUGUGCUUCUUGUCCUUUGUAUAUGCUUUAUAUAUAUAGAACUAGAACGUACGUUUUGGCUAGAUAUUCUGGAAAGUACGGUAAACAUAUGUGACUCAUCCUUGUUUGUCUCUCGCAUCUCGUUUUUUUUUACACGUCAAGAUGACUGGAUUAGUUCUGUCCUUGUGCUUGAGGUGUCAUGUCUAUAUCCAAACGUAGAAACUGAUUUCCCAGCUAUAUCUCUUAUAAAACUAAUUAUUACCACUACAUGUUCUACCUCAUCAAUACGUAAGACAUCUACAUCGAUCAUCUUCCACUAACAGUCAUGUCAUGUCACUAACUUCCAACGUCUUAAUGUAACCUAUCCACAUCAUCUCAAGUUUUAUCUCAACAUACGAGUCAUCCACAUCAUAGCCAUGUCAUAUCACUAACUUCCAACCUCUCAAUACAAGAUAUUCACAUCAUUUCAAGUUCUACCUCAACUUACAAGACACCCCCAUCUGCAAGAUUCAAUCAACUAUUCAGAUUCAGCUGUGAACUAUAUAUGUACCCCUGGCAAUUCCUAACUCCUUAUCUACAUUAUAUAUACUCCCAAAAAUUUUAGCGUAAUCUAGAUAACCUGUUAAUCUAAUGUUUGGUUUGAGCUAGUCACUUCAACUAUUUAAUUUCAAUCUCCUUACCAAGAUUUGUUACUUUUAUUUACUUCCCGGUUUACAAGUUGAAUUUUAAUUUCAAAUUAUUUGUCAAGCUGUAUACCUUAUAAAAUGGACUGGAGGAAUUACGUCUAACUCUAGCUAUUUGUCUUAUAUAUAUGCUAGUUGUUUUGUUGGGCCAUUUUAGCCCGUCAAUAGUUCACGAAGUGAAUAAUAGAUAACUUUGCUUGAUGUUUUGUCGAUCGAAUCUGUAAUCGAUCACACUGUGAAAAGUUACUGGCAUGUACAUUCUCGAUCCCACUCCUAACCCACCCUUAUCCAGACUCCUAACCCUAAUCAUCAUUUAUCAAUGUGGUUGGUCGGUAGUUCUGAAAGAACUGAUUUCACCACCAAAUAACUUUGAGUUGAUAUUAUUUUUGUUCAAGCCUGUCCAUGGACAUUUGAAUGCCUAAGUAUGCAAUGUGAACCAAUGUAAAUGAAAAGUUUUAUAUUAUGCCUAAAGCGAAUAUUGUGAUCGUUUUGUGUUUGUACAGUAAUCUAUCUUAGAUAUCACUAUGACUUUCUGUAUUACUAUGUUUUGAGGGCCAUUAAGUCCCUUACACUACAAUGAUGAUGCCAAAGUUGAUACUGACAUAAUGCAGCAAACUGAAAGUUAACCAACUGUCAGUCUGUUGUUUCCUCUAAACUAUAACAUCCUUUGGGUCAUUAUUAUAUUAUUCAUUAAUUUAUGAUUAUGGUUUUUGUUGUCAUCCGAUUGACAAAAGCUUAUGCAAGUUGUGAAAUUCUCAAAUAGGAUGAUAUAGAUUUCAACACGAGUAGAAUGCAGAAAACUAAAAAAGAACAGUAAACAAACUGUCAUGGCAUAACAUAACAUUUUUCUCUGAGCAGAAACUCUAAGUCAUAAUAUAUGAUAUUAUGAUUUUUGUUAUCUAUUUGCUAGUGGGCUCAAUUCAAUGAGUUUUUGUACAUUUGUAGAACCAAGAACCAGCAGCAGACGAGGAAGUCAAAGACCCUAUUUUUACUGAACCACCUGCUCGUGAAGCUAUAUUGCAACUUAAUGCAGCUAGGAUGAUUGGCCCAAGGCAAGCCUCCUAUUAUGGAAGGGACAGAUGGCAUGGUGAGUCAGAAGAUGAGGAAGAGGAACAACCUACUGGUCAAAACCUUGAGGUUCAAGUUCUAAGGCGAGCCCAAUAUAUAGAUGGUAUGUGCAUCCUAUUACUUUGCAAUUGUGUUGAGUUGCUACUUAGACCAAAUUUCUAUGAAUAAUCAACAUCUUGAAUUUUAUUGCCACUGUGACUUUGUGUCACCACUGAAGACCAAGCUGCGGAGUUGGCACUAGAAAAUACAGAAGACAUUGUUGUGGAAGAAGGGGAGCCGAUGAAUGAAAAAACUGAAGAUGGGAACAUUCAAGUGGGAAGGCGUGUUGGGCCUCCAAGACGGAAGAAAGCGAAUGUUAGACUAGCUGGGCCGGAGUGGGAUAAGUAGAGAGGGACCCUGCAUGGCCCAAAACCGAAGGCCGUUCAGGCGACUCCUUCAUGUACCUUUACGCGAGAUGAAGAGAAC
rnacentral:lncRNA from 1 species